UUGGAGAGAGAGAGGGAGGGAGGGGGAGGGGGAGAGGGAGAGGGAAAAAUGAGUGUGUGUGUGUGUGUGUGUGUGCUGGGGGGGGGUCUUGCCUGUCUUCACAUUAUAUGUCUCAUGCACCGGUCCUGUCAUUCUCCAAAGAAGGCUUGUGGGCAGAAGAGAUCGGUUACUGCACACCUGAAAUUUAAAUUCGAGUUUUCCUUCCACAGUGAAUGGUCCUGCGGACAUCCUGCCACCCCUCAGUGCAGUCAUCAUGUCCUUCCUGUUACUCAUGUGUCCAGUUUACAAAUCAUUCACUUCCAAGCACUGAAAUGAUGUAGAAUUAAAACUCAUGAAAAUAAUAAAGAUUAUUAUUUUAGACGGUUUUCUAAACAUUUGAGACAGGGUCUCUGUAUAACCUCUGCUAGCCUAGAACUCACAAUGCACAGCCAAGCUGGCCCUAAACUUGCCGCUGCAUUGCCUCCCCAGUGCUGAGAUCGUGGGCAUGCACCACCAUGCCUGAUGAGACAGUGCUUCGUUAAAGAUGAAACUAUGCCUACUUAGAAUCAUGCACCACACGUUCUUAAUUUGCUAAACAGGUUUAAGUUAGAAAACAAGAUAGGAGAUGGGUUUUAGUCAUUUCAGUCAGUAACAAGGACUUUGAGUUUUAAGACUUUGGGGGUAGGAAUGUAUUUGAAAGUUUGAGCAGAGAGAGUUGUUUCUGUGUGCAUAGAGAUCUCCACAGUACCCUCUCUCUAUCAUAAGGUUUUGGAAGUACUACCCAGAUAGGAUGAGUUUGUUUCAGGUCAUGUUUUGUGUGGCGUGUGAAAAGCAGAUAAUGAGUGUGGACAGGAUAUCUGGGUGAAGUCCCAGCACUGACCCGUGUUAUGUAUAUGAGGUUUAAGGGUUUAUACUAAUUUACUUUUUCUUUUUCUUUUUUUUUUUUUUUUUGGUCUUUUUGAA
rnacentral:lncRNA from 1 species